AGAACACAAAUGGUUUACGAAAAGCUUAUGAUUUAUACCGGUUUUCCAAACAAGCGUAUUUUUCUGAAAAUACAAAUACAAGAGUUUAAAAAUACAUGAGUUAUGGUAUGAAAAUAUAAAAAGCACACUUGGUGAGAACGAGUACCAAGUGUGUAGCGAUAUAAGAAUACAAGAAACACACUUGGUGAGAAACGAGUACCAAGUGUAGGUGACAUAAGAAUACGGGAAGCGCGCUUGGUGAGAAACGAGAACCAAGUAGGAUGCGCUAUGAAAAAUGAUGCGAGAAAUCGUGUCACGAAUAGGGUACAGAAGCACCAUUAAUCAACAAUAUACCUAGACCGCAGAACAAAAGGUUAGAUCUAACGGGUGCCGGGCAGCCACACUCUCGGUGAGGGCGAGUAUCGAGUAGUGCUUUUGUGUCUCAGAAUAUACCAAUUAAAUGCCUAAGGUUUGGUGACUUCCUAUGUCGUGCCACAUGUUAAUGGCCUUGCAACCCAUUAACAAUCCUGAAAUUUACAGGACUACUUUAAUUACAUGAAAUUCAUACCAUACUAAAACUUGAAUUAUACUUGAAGUACGUGGGGUACUCAAGAAGAUUAGAAUUAUACAUAGAGUACUUGGUGUACACAUGAAUACUUGAAUUAUACAUGAAAACUUGAUUUAUACGUGACACAAACUAUGUUUUCAUUCAGAGUUUCAAGUAACUCGAUAAGAAAAUGAUUUUUAAAUACAUUUUCUCAACAAUACUUCAAAAACCGGUUAUUCAAAAAGAUUUACUUCAAAUCUUUUACAACCAAACUAUGAACUCGCUCAACUUUAUGUUGAUUUUUCGCAUGUUUCUUUCUCAGGUUACUUUUCAAACAAUGGAACGGUUGGAAUAGGAGGACCAUGAAGAGUCGAGUACUUAGUGGCGUUCAAUUUCUAGAAGUCUUAGCUUUAUUUGCUUCCGCUGUGCAAUGAAGAUACCAGUCCAGUCACGCCAAUGCUCUGAUAAUUUCGGGGUGUGACAGAUUGGUAUCAGAGCUAUAGGUUACAGCGAACAGGGUUUUCCGUAGGAAUACCUAGGCUCUAACCUCACUAUCCUCUGGGAACUUAGAAUAUUAAAACCUGAAUGCAUACAGAAAGCAUAGUACUCGAAUAUGGUCUCCAACCGUUGCCGAAAAACAAACAGUCAAGAUUUUGUUUUCAAACAUACGCUAAAGUGGUGUUUUACACACGGUACACAAAACAGUCGCAUACAGUACACAAAACUCUGAGAAUUUAAGAAACAUGCAUUUAAGACCUCCGGAAACUCAUGUAGAAGUUCAUUAAAGGUCACCACGUAGGUACCACGUUUAUUAACUCGGACAAACGUCAUUUUUAUGUCAUCUAUGCUAUUUAGCCGAGCAGGUAACCUACGCAAAACGAAGCACGAGCGUGCAAAAGUACACGAAAACUCGAUCAACGGAGGUUGAAGUAUGUCACAUACGACUAUCAAGGCGAUGCCUUAGAAAGGACACGAUGGCGCAAUUCAGCAACGACGCUAGAUCCUGUCAGCACGAAAACUAUCGAUCAGGAAGCGGCAGUUUGGCACGCGGUCCUGCAAACGACACGAGUCAUGCUAAGGAAAAGACGCAAGUCACCGUAUCCCCCCUAUCCGAAUAAUGACAAGUACGCUAAGUUUGACAUUCCAUGGUAAUGUCACCUAACAACUGGUUAUCACAUGCAACCCCAGGUAAAGUCCUUAAAUUUCUUUUAUUGAAAUUUCGACUUUCACAUUCACUGAGUAGAUUUUCGCAUCUCUACUCCUCUUAAUGGUCAUUGCAUCACAAUCACUUCUUCAUUAUAGCGAAUGUUCAUUUGCUUCAUUUCUUGAAAAUUCAUAUCUUACGCAUGCAUCGUUUGUUGCGCAUGUGGUUCCGUUUCGAAUAAAGCGUUCCACUGAAGUUCAAAUAUUGUUUCGCUAAAUCUAAUUGUUGAUUUGUGAUUCGAAUGACCUGCAUUAUUGUAAUUGUUGGCUUCUUCGUUACUAGGACAACACAUUUUCUUGAAACUUCAUUUCUUAUCUUUUCAAGUUACAUACAUGGUUUUCGUUGUGACCAUGCCGAAAGUUUUCUUGUCGAUACAUGUAUUUAUUGUCGGCUUGCGCCGAAAUAAAAUUCAAUUGUUUGAACCUGUUCAUUAUACAUAUUCAAAUUCCAGACAUCAUAUGAUGUAUUGAAAACAUCAUAUUCGAAUUCGUUUUAACAAGCGUUUCAUUGCUCUGAGUCGUAGUAGAUUUGUUUGAUCUACGACUCCAUUAAGUCGUUUGUUGAUUUCGACACCCUGUGGUGUCAAUACAGACUUGUAGCUUGAGCUAAUCAUGAUUGAACAUUUCAUGCAAAACACAGGUGAUACUUGUUCGAUCACCACUAUACUUGAAUUAUUUCAUUCACUACGACACCUUGUGGCGUCGGUAGAAUUUGCAGCUUGGGCUGAUCGUGAUCGAGCGUUUCAUGCAAACUAUUACAUUUGAGCUUGUUGAAAUCUAAAUUCGUUUAUUGGAUGCAAUCAUUUCUAGAAUUCAUUCAUAUCUUGUGACACGUCUUUAAAUCCACAUCAUUCGAAUAAGUCUUGAUUCGAUUUCAUGAUCGUUCACUUUGGUACUAUUCAUAUUUUCUACGCAUAACGUAACUCAAAGGAGUUGACGUAGUCUAAAUUUCGAGGACGAAAUUUUAUUAACAGGGGGAGACUGUGACAACCGGUAAUUUACACCCUUAAUUACGUGAUUAACAGGUAAUUACGCAAUAAUAAAUAGGGUUUACGACGCAAAUUAACUUAAUUAGGCCCUUGGAGUGCCUAGGAACGCUUAUCCGACCCUACAAUACGCUUUUGAAGAUUCGCGCGGCAUCUGCGGAACAUCAAUUGACAACGGACUGAAACCGUACGAAAUACUGACAACGCCAACAAAUAUGGAUAUUACAUGAAUAUUCUAUGCUCAUGGAGUUUGGGUCGCGAUAUCGGGUCUCGUAGGAAUUACGGGCCACCUACUCAUGAGAUGGGCUUGUGGGCCCUGAGGCCAAGUCCAAAACCCGCAAGCCUAAACCUGCAUAAUAUAUAAGAUCUACAAAAUAUAGCCAAAUCUCUACAAAAGAUUUGCAAUAAUCCUACUAAAUCCUAAAAUCUCUAUAAAUCUUUACAAAAGAUAUCAUCUCAAAAGAUAUAACAUAUAACCUGAAUAGAAUUUGAAAACAUAAAGGAUAAUAAAAGUUGGCCACUCUAUUAAUACACAUCCACUCCUUCUCAUCUAAACUCACACUGCCUUUCACCUUCCUCCCUCUCGGUUACAUAUACAAACACAGGGAAUUUCUCACCUGCACAAGACAAAAACCCAAAUCAAACAACUUUCCUCACCAAACAAAACCCAACCCAACCCAGCCGACCACCCCUACCCCUCUCGGUCUAUCUCUCCUCUCGUUCUAUACAUUCAAACACAAAGAAAUCAGCUCCCAACCCACUUGUUUUACCCCCUAUUAAUGGGCCAACCACCACCAUCCUUUGGUGGUGGCAGACUACAACAACAAACACCACCACCACCACCACAGGCGGCGGCGCUGUGGUGGUUGGUACCGAAUGAUGAAGAGAACAGAACCGCCGCACGCGGCGGCGGUAUGAUGGCAAGAGAGAGAGAGAGAGUAGAGAGAGAUGGUGACAGCGGCUGACUGGCGACGGAGCCGUCUCUCCGACGGCGGCGGCGGUGGUCUGAGACUUAGACCGGCAGUUCGUGUUACGGACCGGUGGUUCGUGUCAAGAUCCAGCGGUUUUUGCUUUUGACUAAUGGGUUAACCGGGAGUAGCGGCUGAAGACGGUGGUGAUGACGAUGGUGACGGCAGUGGCAGCGUGACGGUGGUUGUGUCUCGAUCCACGAGAUUUCCGCAAACGUCAACAGUUGGGGUUCGGGUUAGAUGUUGAGUUUCGGGUUUUCGGGUGCAGGUCAGCGCUGUGGUUCAGCUUGUUGCGGUUCACACGGUUCAGCAGGUUUAAUUUUCGGGCCAACUGGUUAACGGGUUGACUCGGUCAAACUGAGUCAACUCAGUCAACAAGUCAAAGCUGGUCAACAUCGAGUCAUUGCUCGGGCUUGGUCAACUCGGGUCAGAUUAGGAAGCGGUUCGGUCGACUCGGUCAAACCCGGUCAACAGCGAGUUGACUCGGUCAACUCAGCUAGCUCACUCGACAUUUCGUCACGAAGACUUGGUAAAAACUAAUGACAAGUUUAGUAUUUUCGUGAUUUAUACUUACGUGAUAACGAGCUCGAACCAAACAAAAUAAUGAAAGUAAUAGUUAAAGAGUACUUUGAUUUAUUAUUUCGUUUUUAUAAAUUGAUGAUACGUAAUUAUUGUUGAAUA